AUUGAACGCUGGCGGCAUGCUUUACACAUGCAAGUCGAACGGUAACAGGGAGCUUGCUCCGCUGACGAGUGGCGAACGGGUGAGUAAUGCGUCGGAACGUGCCGAGUAGUGGGGGAUAACGCAUCGAAAGGUGUGCUAAUACCGCAUACGUACUGAGGUAGAAAGUGGGGGACCUUCGGGCCUCACGCUAUUCGAGCGGCCGACGUCUGAUUAGCUAGUUGGUGAGGUAAAGGCUCACCAAGGCGACGAUCAGUAGCGGGUCUGAGAGGAUGAUCCGCAACACUGGGACUGAGACACGGCCCAGACUCCUACGGGAGGCAGCAGUGGGGAAUUUUGGACAAUGGGCGCAAGCCUGAUCCAGCCAUGCCGCGUGUCUGAAGAAGGCCUUCGGGUUGUAAAGGACUUUUGUCCGGGAGCAAAUGCUGGUGGCUAACAUCCACCGGAGCUGAGAGUACCGGAAGAAUAAGCACCGGCUAACUACGUGCCAGCCGCCGCGGUAAGAC
rnacentral:rRNA from 1 species